CAGGCCCCUGCGGAGAAGAGACAGCUGGUCCGGAGAGGGGUGGAAACGCGGAGGCGCUGUGUCUCCAGAGGAAGAGCUCCGGGAGCCGGGGUGCCAUGGAGAGGAGGAGGCCCAGACCCAGGAGAAGGGAGAGCCCAGAGCCUGAGGGCUGAGCCGAUGAGGCUGCAGGAGGGCCUGACUGCAGCACAACCGGCCCAGGAGCAGGCCCAGGCCGACCAGCUGGCCAGCAACAUCCCGGGGAAAGGAGCAAGUCCUGUGUCCCAGCCACGAGUCCAGGCCUCUAACUCAGCCUCUCAAUCGAACGUAUCCUGCUCCCUGCUGUGCUCAGUGGAGAACGGGAGAGGGGUCACCCUGUCUUGGCUCACAGAGGGAAGGUCACUGAUCUCCACCAAGAAUCCUGCCCUCUCCACCAACCUGACUCUUCAGCUGGAGGCAGCAGGACUCUCUGAGCCCCUCGUCUGCUCAGCCACUAACCCUGUCGACAGCAGCAUAACCUCUGUCAGGCUUGAGGACUACUGCCAAGGUGAGAUACUGCACAGCUGGGACAGACACUAAAUGAGUGAGAGAGACUCCUAUUGUCUGUACUGCACUGAGAGAUACUGCACAGCUGGGACAGACACAGUAAAUGAGCGAGAGAGACUCCUAUUGUCUGUACUGCCCUGGUGAGAUGCUGCACAGCUGGGACAGACACUAAAUGAGUGAGAGAGACUC
rnacentral:lncRNA from 1 species